rnacentral:rRNA from 1 species
CAGUCGCCGCGGGAAAACGUAGGUGGCAAGCGUUGUCCGGAAUUAUUGGGCGUAAAGGGCUCGCAGGCGGUUUCUUAAGUCUGAUGUGAAAGCCCCCGGCUCAACCGGGGAGGGUCAUUGGAAACUGGGAAACUUGAGUGCAGAAGAGGAGAGUGGAAUUCCACGUGUAGCGGUGAAAUGCGUAGAGAUGUGGAGGAACACCAGUGGCGAAGGCGACCCUCUGGUCUGUAACUGACGCUGAGGAGCGAAAGCGUGGGGAGCGAACAGGAUUAGAUACCCCCGUAGUCCCUGUCUCUUAUAC